UUGCAGGUUUUCCCACUUACAAAGAAUGGAGAAGUCUGUAAUUUUUAUCAUAGGUACUCCUCAACUAGAUCAUAUGUCUCCUGUAGUUCUUGACCAGGUUUGCACACACUGCAGCAGGGAUUUUGGCCCACUCCUUCAUACAGACCUUCUCCAGAUCCUUCAGUUUCGGGGCUGACGCUGGGCAAUACAGACUUUCAGCUCCCUCCAAAGACCUGGACAUGCGCUGGCUUGAGCAGGGGGACCUUGCGUGCGCUGCAAGAUUUUAAUCCAUGACGGCGUAGUGUGUUACUAAUGGUUUUCUUUGAGACUGUGGUCCCAGCUCUCUUCAGGUCAUUGACCAGGUCCUGCCGUGUAGUUCUGGGCUGAUCCCUCACCUUCCUCAUGAUCAUUGAUGCCCCACGAGGUGAGAUCUUGCAUGGAGCCCCAGAUCGAGGGAGAUUGACUGUCAUCUUGAACUUCUUCCAUUUU
ensembl:lncRNA